rnacentral:piRNA from 1 species
UNGCAUCAGUAGAUACCUAUAUGGAUGG